rnacentral:rRNA from 1 species
ACAAGGUUUCCGUAGGGAACUUGGGGAAGGAUCAUUGUCGAAACCUUUAAAGCAGAACCGCGAACAUGUUUUCAUUAAUCGGGGCGAGGCUCUUCAGCUCAGCCCCCUUUCCUGCCCGACGAUCGCCUCGUGCGCUUGUUCGGCGUGGGCUAACAAACCCCGGCGCGGCAUGCGCCAAGGAAAACUCUUAAAGAAGCACCGCCCCCCCUGGCAAAGCCCCGUCUGCGGUGCGCUUUGCGUUGGGGGAGUGUGUCUCUUGAAAUGUCAAAACGACUCUCGGCAACGGAUAUCUCGGCUCUCGCAUCGAUGAAGAACGUAGCGAAAUGCGAUACUUGGUGUGAAUUGCAGAAUCCCGUGAACCAUCGAGUCUUUGAACGCAAGUUGCGCCCAAAGCCGUUAGGCCGAGGGCACGUCUGCCUGGGCGUCACGCAUCGCGUCGCCCCCAACCCAACCCUUGGAAAAAGGGCUUUGAGGUGUUUGGGGGCGGAGACUGACCUCCCGUGAGCGUUUAGCAUGCGGUUGGUCGAAAUUAGAUCCCGCACUGGCGGAAGUCACGACUAGUGGUGGUUGAAAAUUCAACGCGCAUCCUGUCGUGCAUCAAUUUCGAUCCAGUGUUCGGGCAUCAUCGUACGGAAUAAGACCCAACGGCUCCUCUUCUAAAAAUGGGGAUGCCUUCGACCGCGACCCCAGGUCAGGCGGGACUACCCGCUGAGUUUAAGCAUAUCAUAAGGC